CAUCGGUGCUAGCGGUGAUGAGAUACGACCAGUAUUAAUGAAGGGAGAUCAACGAGAAUGCUUCCCUUAAUAAAUAGUGCAAAAAAUAAACAAAAUAAUAAAGAAAAAAAUACCCGAUGCGAGUGGUGUGUCUGCCCUCCACCAGGCGGCGCGAUCCCCUUCCCGACUUUUUUCCUUCUCUUUCCCUCUCCUCCUCGCUCAUCCUCCUCCGCUUUCCUUUGUUCCCAGAGGCCGGCCCCAGUGUGGUUUCCGUUGUGCUUGGGAGCAGUCGCGUAGUCGCCCGUGUCCAGCUCCUUCUUUGUUCUUUGUUCCGAAAUCGGUCUUCUUCUUCUUCGGACCCCGAACGUCGCCUCACGCUUCCUGCCUUCGUCAAAGGGCCUCCUUUCGUUCGACACAUUGGGCGCAAGAGCGAGUUGCACGGCUGGCCCUCCGUUUCAAGUGACCUCCUUCAGCUGCGGAUGACCUGUGCUUAAUCAAGACCGCUUGAAUGGCAACUGAGAACUUGCUCCAAGCAAAAAGUGUUUUUAUGAAAUCGUGUUAGCUCGUGCGAAUUCACUGAAUAGGAACAAGUGUGUUUUCAUCGAGACAGCUCUCGUCUGCAAACUUGCAUUGUCGGCCUAAUAAAGUCUCAGGUUAUUAAAAUGUGAGGUAAAAAAGGAAAAAUCUGUUGUUUUGUGUUUUGCUGGUGAGGACGAAGCCCCUGCUGUGCACACCUGCGGAAACGAAGUAAGUCCCUUAUCAGUUUGUUCAGAGAUUUGAUUUUUUCCCGUGGUAAUCGUGAAAAA